AAUUAACAAACACUUAAAUUCAACUAAUUUCAGUAUAAGACAUUGCAACCAAGAAACCUUAGAAAUUCUCCAGUUCUUUUUAUUUUAAACACAGGAGUGAGAAAUUCAGAAUCUUUUUUCAGAAUGAAGAUGAUCAUUAUUUUUGUCGUCUUGAUGUUUUGUUA